ACCCGGUGCCAAAUUGAAAGACGCAGUUCGUUUAUUGAUUCUCUCUCUCGGCUUCUUCCAUAAACAAAACCAAAAGGAGAGAGAGAGAGAGAGAGAAACGUACGGAAAUGGCGACUCUGCAAUAGCUCCUCUGGUUCAAGCCCCUUUCUCUGUACCUCUCCCUUUCAAUUCCAAAUUCUCUUUCACUCUGUAUAACUAUAUUAACUAUAUGAAAAAUGCAUGAUAUUCAAACUAUGAACCUUAACAUGGCAGCAGAAGUGGAGAACUACACACCUCCUCUUCAGAUCUGUGGUGGUUUCGCAUUGCUGCUUCAAUUUUUGACGGAAAAUUACUUGUUUUGAUCUUUUGAGGAUUUUCUCAUUGGCUUUUGGGAUAUUUAUUUGUUUAAUUGUUUCUAUUUUGGUUUGGGGGUGAAGUCACUGGAGGCAGCGGUUCAUCGAUCUCUUCCUGGAGGAUUUUGUUGUGGAAUUAACACAAACACAUGAAUCGAUCGAUAAACCUCUGCAUCCAGCGCUUGCCCUCCUUUUUUUUUUUUUUUCUAUACUCUCUCGCUAAUGAGAUCACUAUUUUUUUUUUGGUUGCUGAGAAAUUUUGUUUUAAAGAAAAUGCAAAAUUUCCCGAAGGGUGAAUUUUUUUUUUUUCGAAUUUUCUCUAAUUGAAGUUGGUCGCAGCCUUGCAGGAAAAUGCGGCCUCCUCCGGCUAUGGAGCGUGGACUCUUACUGUAGCAUCCCUUUUCAUAUUAUGCAUCAAUUUCUCACACUACUGUGGUGUUAAACAUUUCCCUUACCCAGGAUUGGGACCAGCUAUGCUUUGCUAAGCUCACCGUAGGCAGAGUUUUUGACUUUGAUGUGUGGUUCUUCUUUAUUCUGAGUGUCAACCAUUCAAGAUUGGCGAAUUCUCUUUUGAUCUCCAUCUUUUAGUCCCUUGGCUGAAGUAGUUGCAUGAGAAGAACUCCUCGGUGGAGUUCUUAUAGAGAUAAUUCUUAAUGAUUAUAUUAUGUUGGAGAUAAUGGUUAUUUUUCUGUAGUUUUGCUCAGAUAAGUUAUUAUAUUGCUUCCUUACUAUUGAUUUUGUUUGUAUUAUAGAUUUGGUGUCCCACAAAAUAUUCUGUAAUGGAUCUGAUCUUUCGUUCCAAUUGUGACACAAUUUUUGCUGAGAAAAACCCAUUUUAGCAUUGUUUAAUUCUUCUA